rnacentral:rRNA from 1 species
GACGAACGCUGGCGGCGUGCUUAACACAUGCAAGUCGAACGAGUGGCGAACGGGUGAGUAAUACGUGAGUAACCUUCCCUCUUUUUGGGAUAAGCCUUGGAAACGGGGUCUAAUACCUGAUAAAGGGGGAUGGGCUCGCGGCCUAUCAGCUUGGUGGUGGGGUGAUGGCCUACCAAGGCGGUGACGGGGAGCCGGCCUGAGAGGGUGCACGGGCACAUUGAGACUGAGAAAAGGCCCAUGCUACUACGGGGGGGGGAAGUGGGGGAUAUGGAAGAAUGGGCGAAAGACUGAUGCAGCGAGGGCGCGUGGGGGAUGAAGGCUGUCGGGUUGUGAAGCUAUUUAGCUAUCGAAGGGUAGGUAGAGAAGAAGCGCCGGCUAACUACGUGCCAGCAGCCGCGGUAAUAC